rnacentral:rRNA from 1 species
GGUUAAGCGACUAAGCGUACACGGUGGAUGCCCUGGCAGUCAGAGGCGAUGAAGGACGUGCUAAUCUGCGAUAAGCGUCGGUAAGGUGAUAUGAACCGUUAUAACCGGCGAUUUCCGAAUGGGGAAACCCAGUGUGUUUCGACACACUAUCAUUAACUGAAUCCAUAGGUUAAUGAGGCGAACCGGGGGAACUGAAACAUCUAAGUACCCCGAGGAAAAGAAAUCAACCGAGAUUCCCCCAGUAGCGGCGAGCGAACGGGGAGGAGCCCAGAGCCUGAAUCAGUGUGUGUGUUAGUGGAAGCGUCUGGAAAGGCGCGCGAUACAGGGUGACAGUCCCGUACACAAAAAUGCACAUGCUGUGAGCUCGAUGAGUAGGGCGGGACACGUGGUAUCCUGUCUGAAUAUGGGGGGACCAUCCUCCAAGGCUAAAUACUCCUGACUGACCGAUAGUGAACCAGUACCGUGAGGGAAAGGCGAAAAGAACCCCGGCGAGGGGAGUGAAAAAGAACCUGAAACCGUGUACGUACAAGCAGUGGGAGCACGCUUCGGCGUGUGACUGCGUACCUUUUGUAUAAUGGGUCAGCGACUUAUAUUCUGUAGCAAGGUUAACCGAAUAGGGGAGCCGAAGGGAAACCGAGUCUUAACUGGGCGUUAAGUUGCAGGGUAUAGACCCGAAACCCGGUGAUCUAGCCAUGGGCAGGUUGAAGGUUGGGUAACACUAACUGGAGGACCGAACCGACUAAUGUUGAAAAAUUAGCGGAUGACUUGUGGCUGGGGGUGAAAGGCCAAUCAAACCGGGAGAUAGCUGGUUCUCCCCGAAAGCUAUUUAGGUAGCGCCUCGUGAAUUCAUCUCCGGGGGUAGAGCACUGUUUCGGCAAGGGGGUCAUCCCGACUUACCAACCCGAUGCAAACUGCGAAUACCGGAGAAUGUUAUCACGGGAGACACACGGCGGGUGCUAACGUCCGUCGUGAAGAGGGAAACAACCCAGACCGCCAGCUAAGGUCCCAAAGUCAUGGUUAAGUGGGAAACGAUGUGGGAAGGCCCAGACAGCCAGGAUGUUGGCUUAGAAGCAGCCAUCAUUUAAAGAAAGCGUAAUAGCUCACUGGUCGAGUCGGCCUGCGCGGAAGAUGUAACGGGGCUAAACCAUGCACCGAAGCUGCGGCAGCGACACUAUGUGUUGUUGGGUAGGGGAGCGUUCUGUAAGCCUGUGAAGGUGUACUGUGAGGUAUGCUGGAGGUAUCAGAAGUGCGAAUGCUGACAUAAGUAACGAUAAAGCGGGUGAAAAGCCCGCUCGCCGGAAGACCAAGGGUUCCUGUCCAACGUUAAUCGGGGCAGGGUGAGUCGACCCCUAAGGCGAGGCCGAAAGGCGUAGUCGAUGGGAAACAGGUUAAUAUUCCUGUACUUGGUGUUACUGCGAAGGGGGGACGGAGAAGGCUAUGUUGGCCGGGCGACGGUUGUCCCGGUUUAAGCGUGUAGGCUGGUUUUCCAGGCAAAUCCGGAAAAUCAAGGCUGAGGCGUGAUGACGAGGCACUACGGUGCUGAAGCAACAAAUGCCCUGCUUCCAGGAAAAGCCUCUAAGCAUCAGGUAACAUCAAAUCGUACCCCAAACCGACACAGGUGGUCAGGUAGAGAAUACCAAGGCGCUUGAGAGAACUCGGGUGAAGGAACUAGGCAAAAUGGUGCCGUAACUUCGGGAGAAGGCACGCUGAUAUGUAGGUGAAGUCCCUCGCGGAUGGAGCUGAAAUCAGUCGAAGAUACCAGCUGGCUGCAACUGUUUAUUAAAAACACAGCACUGUGCAAACACGAAAGUGGACGUAUACGGUGUGACGCCUGCCCGGUGCCGGAAGGUUAAUUGAUGGGGUUAGCGGUAACGCGAAGCUCUUGAUCGAAGCCCCGGUAAACGGCGGCCGUAACUAUAACGGUCCUAAGGUAGCGAAAUUCCUUGUCGGGUAAGUUCCGACCUGCACGAAUGGCGUAAUGAUGGCCAGGCUGUCUCCACCCGAGACUCAGUGAAAUUGAACUCGCUGUGAAGAUGCAGUGUACCCGCGGCAAGACGGAAAGACCCCGUGAACCUUUACUAUAGCUUGACACUGAACAUUGAGCCUUGAUGUGUAGGAUAGGUGGGAGGCUUUGAAGUGUGGACGCCAGUCUGCAUGGAGCCGACCUUGAAAUACCACCCUUUAAUGUUUGAUGUUCUAACGUUGGCCCCUGAUCGGGGUUGCGGACAGUGUCUGGUGGGUAGUUUGACUGGGGCGGUCUCCUCCUAAAGAGUAACGGAGGAGCACGAAGGUUGGCUAAUCCUGGUCGGACAUCAGGAGGUUAGUGCAAUGGCAUAAGCCAGCUUGACUGCGAGCGUGACGGCGCGAGCAGGUGCGAAAGCAGGUCAUAGUGAUCCGGUGGUUCUGAAUGGAAGGGCCAUCGCUCAACGGAUAAAAGGUACUCCGGGGAUAACAGGCUGAUACCGCCCAAGAGUUCAUAUCGACGGCGGUGUUUGGCACCUCGAUGUCGGCUCAUCACAUCCUGGGGCUGAAGUAGGUCCCAAGGGUAUGGCUGUUCGCCAUUUAAAGUGGUACGCGAGCUGGGUUUAGAACGUCGUGAGACAGUUCGGUCCCUAUCUGCCGUGGGCGCUGGAGAACUGAGGGGGGCUGCUCCUAGUACGAGAGGACCGGAGUGGACGCAUCACUGGUGUUCGGGUUGUCAUGCCAAUGGCACUGCCCGGUAGCUAAAUGCGGAAGAGAUAAGUGCUGAAAGCAUCUAAGCACGAAACUUGCCCCGAGAUGAGUUCUCCCUGACUCCUUGAGAGUCCUGAAGGAACGUUGAAGACGACGACGUUGAUAGGCCGGGUGUGUAAGCGCAGCGAUGCGUUGAGCUAACCGGUACUAAUGAACCGUGAGGCUUAACCUU